AAGACCCCUUCACUUAAGGGCCUCUAGUAUAGACAUAUACAUGUCUCUAUAUUUUUGCAAAUAUAGGGACUAGUUGUGAGGCCUACUCCCCAACAAAUCCAAGUUGUCUAUUUUUAAAUCUCCAUUCAUGGAUUAUCCUUACAAAAAAUCAAAUCGGUCCGAAACCAUUUAGUCAUUUGAUUCUCAUGAUGAAAUUCAAUGUUUUUAGAACAUAGUGUUCGUAUCAAAUUUUUAACUCAAUUGGCUACCUAAAACAUUCAUUUCCUAAUUUAACUAAUAUUUCAAGAAUGAUUUAUGAAAUACAAUUUAAAAAAUAAACAAUUUAGAUCGUUGAAGGCCAACAUGAAUGAGCCCCACACCUAUCCUCAUUUAAAAAAAAAAAAAUUGAAGAUCCCUAUAGAUUUCAUGUUUAUCCCCAUCAUGGGCUUUAAUUUCAGCUUCCAAGGAACUAUUGAUUGUGUUAAUCCAAUUUUUCCAUUGUUCUGUCGGCUUUACCGUACGAAUUUGAAAUAGCGCCGUAAUCGUAAACUCGAUGGCCGAGAAAGCCAAUGGAGUGGUGGAGCAAAAACCGAAGCAGCAACCGGUGAUGAGGCCCAAUCCUUUCCACGAAAUCAACCUCAAAUGGCAGCGUCAUUGGGAGGAUAUCAGACUUUUUCGAACCCCCGAUGAAAUUGAUACCUCCAAGCCCAAAUACUAUCUUUUUGAUAUGUUCCCUUAUCCUAGAAUUACAAACAAUGAUGGGGCCUUUAGAGAGUUGCUGCAGAAUUACACAUAUGAUAUGUGUAAUGUACUUUGUUGGUCAUAUGAGAAAGGAUAGCCUGGCUCCCGACGAUAACAGACUGGCACCUGGCAUGUCUUACGGAAAUGGAGCACAAACGAGCAUCUGAUGUAGUGAUGUGCCUCCUGGUUUUGGUUGAUGAGAUUUCAUGCAUUUCAGUUUUCACAGUUACUCAAGAGUUGUUUCCUAUAAUGUAAAGGUACACCUUGUGGACGAAAGACCGACAACAAUCUUUGAUGCAGUGGAUACCUAAUUCUGCUGUGAUCAUCUGGAGUGAGAAAAACGUGAUCGUUGUUUAUUAGCCAACUAGACAAAAUAAAAUAUCGACAUUGCUGGGCCACUGAAACCCUAUUCCACGUCACAUAUGGUGUGACAUCCCACAUCGUGCAGGGGAGUGAUCCUUAUAUGUAAAUUCUCAUCCCUACCUAGCACAAGGCUUUUUGGGAGCUCACUGGCUUCAGGUUCCAUGGGAACUCUGAAGUUA